GCUUUGCUUUCCAGCGAGCUAAUCUGCUGACACUUUCCUUCAAAAUUAAUUGUAUUUAGUUGGUCAGGUUCUGAAAAGACAAGGGCGACCUGUUUAUGAGGGCGUGAAGUUUGUCACAGUGGUUGUGCAACUGUGGAGGAAACGCAUCCUAGGUGUGGGGACAGCAGAGCAGCUGACCUUUCAUUUCAACAUACCUGCAGGAAGCCCUAGAAAGCCUGGGCCUGCCACAUGCAAAACUACUUACUGGUGACAGCAAAAGCAAUUUUGGAAGAGAGACAGAGUGGGGAAGUGCUGUGGGGAAAAAUGGAAGGCUUCAGGAUGUUUUCCGAGAUUCUUGUAGUAAAUGGAAACCAAUGGAUUCCUUAGAACAAUUCCACUGAAUGGAAAGUGUGACCAGACCACCUGAGUGAUACCUGGCUCAUCCUCCACGUUAGAUGUGCUCACAUAUAUUCAAAAUAAAAAAGUUACAAAACUAGUCA
rnacentral:lncRNA from 1 species